rnacentral:rRNA from 1 species
ACAAUGAAGAGUUUGAUCCUGGCUCAGGAUGAACGUUAGCGGCAGGCUUAACACAUGCAAGUCGAGGGGCAGCGGGUCGUGUAGCAAUACACGAUGCCGGCGACCGGCGCAAGGGUGCGUAACGCGUGAGCAACAUGCCCGUGUCGGGAGGAUAAGCCGGAGAAAUCCGGUCUAAUACUCCAUGGUUACCGUAGGGGGCAUCCCCUGCGGUAUAAAGAUCCGUCGGACACGGAUUGGCUCGCGUGACAUUAGCUUGACGGUGGGGUAACGGCCCACCGUGGCGACGAUGUCUAGGGGAACUGAGAGGUUGGUCCCCCACACUGGAACUGAGACACGGUCCAGACUCCUGCGGGAGGCAGCAGUGAGGAAUAUUGGACAAUGGGCGGAAGCCUGAUCCAGCCAUGCCGCGUGAAGGAAUACGGUCCUAUGGAUUUUAAACUUCUUUUGUACGUGAGCAAUAAGGUCCACGCGUGGUCCGAUGAGUGUAGCGUACGAAUAAGCAUCGGCUAACUCCGUGCAGCAGCCGCGGUAAUACGGAGGAUGCGAGCGUUAUCCGGAUUCAUUGGGUUUAAAGGGUGCGUAGGCGGUGCGGUAAGUCAGCGGUGAAAUGCACGGGCUCAACCCGUGACGUGCCGUUGAUACUGUCGCGCUGGAAUACGGUUGCCGUGGGAGGAAUGUGUAAUGUAGCGGUGAAAUGCAUAGAUAUUACACAGAACACCGAUUGCGAAGGCAUCUCACGAAGCCGCGAUUGACGCUGAUGCACGAAAGUGCGGGGAUCAAACAGGAUUAGAUACCCUGGUAG